ACAAUGCAGUGGAGAAGGCGGCACAUUCUAGGUUGCGUUAUCAAAACUGCAGUUUAGGAGGACUGGCAGCAAAACCUCGACAAGUCCCAGUUUCCGCGGUCAGACGAGCCGCUUCCUCUAGUGCUACGCAUGGUGCUACGCGCUCGUCGCGUCCAACAGAUCCUGUGGCUGGGCAUGACGUAAAGGUCAAAUUGUCACCGUGGCUAGCAACUCGAAGAUGCGCCUUCUGUCGCAACCUUGGGAACAGGGCAGCUUCUCGGAAGAUAUGUCGAUAUGUGCUUCUUGCCCUGUCUUUUGGGCAGUGGGGAACCAUUUGCUGACCAACGUGUGUUCUACACCGUCGACAGACGCCAAGGAAGCGCUGACCAAGGAUCAGCGAGAACACAGCAGUCGAUUUUUUAACGAAACCAUUAAUAACCACAUGCGCGCGUCAGGAGCCCGCCAUCUACCCGCUUAUCUGUCAGCUGGAAGCGGCAUUCGGAAGAAGCGCGCGGAAGGAAAGCGAAUUGACGACCCAGCGGCCUCGGCGGAAGUGCAGAAAAGUCGCGGCUGGCCCACAGGCUGGGCCUUCGCACUUUCUCCACGAGACGCUGUUCAGCGGAACAGCGCGUUACAGACGCACUCAUGUAGUUGGCAGAGCGGCUACCCAAAUUGUAACUGACGUAUACGCAGGAUAAACGGGCACAUCGAAAGCAAGCGAAUAUCGAACAAAAAUGGAAACCAAUUAUUGAACUCCUGGUUCCUUAGGCUUCCGGGGAGCCAAUGAGCG